AGGAGCUGAUCUGCCCCUGAUCUCUAAAGAGACUCAAACUUCCUCCUUCAGCUCAGCUCAACUCUCCAACAUUAACUCUGCUCAACAUGCUGUCUCUGCUCACAUCUGGAUUCACUCUGCUGGUUCUGAUCACUGGAUCAGGUGUAAACUGUCAACAACUCACUGCAGCGAAGACUGAGGAGUUCAGUUCAGAGGGCAGCUCUGUUACUCUGACCUGUAGUUACACCAAAGAUUCUGCACAGGUUUUAUUCUGGUAUCAACAAAAUCCAGGAGAACCUCCAGAGUUCCUGAGGUCUCACUCACCUUUUGGUGGAUCAGAACAUCUGGACAGGAUGACAUUUAAAGGAAGCAAAGAAGAAAUGUCCAUGACGAUCUCCUCUGCUGCAGUGACAGACUCUGCUGUGUACUACUGCGCUGUGAGGCCCACAGUGACAGGAAACACCAGAACCCUGUACAAAAACCUGCAGUACUCCACAGCAGCCACUAGAGGGCCUCACUCCCUGUUAAUCCACUGGUUGUUGAGUCUUUGGACUGAAGACAAAGACAACAGAGACAUGAAGCAGUAAAGAUCAGAGACAGAGCUGCUGAGGAAGCAGAAAACUCUCUGAUUGGUUGAGUUGAAAUGGCCCCGCCCACUGACCUUCAGCUCAUCCAAUGACAUCAUUUCUUCCUCCUCCUCUGUCAGUCUCCACUUUUUCUAUAACUAAUUACUGGAGAUAAUCUCUGCUGUUAGAGAAGGACAACCUGUCCCACUCAGCUGUUGCUAAGAGACAACGUCUCCGUCUCCUGUCCUCCACUGGUCCAAACUGGUCUGACCUUCAGGUUCCCCGGUUUCUGUUCUGGAAGCAGAUGUUUGGGUUCCUCCAGAACCAUAGAGCUCAGCCUUUCCUUAAAAUCAUGAACAACUGGCAGCAUGUUUAGGACCGGUUCAGUCCAAAAGAACCCGGUCCGUGUGGAACCAUGGUUCUGUAUAUCUACCAGCAGGAGGUCGCUCAGUUUUACAUGGGCUCAGAACCAAUUGGCCAAAACCAGAACCAGAUCACUGUUCCCUGUCUGGACCCGACCAGAACCAUUCGGCCCACCGAACUGCCAUG